AUUGAACGCUGGCGGCAGGCCUAACACAUGCAAGUCGAACGAGUGGCGGACGGGUGAGUAAUGUCUGGGAAACUGCCUGAUGGAGGGGGAUAACUAAUGGAAACGGUGGCUAAUACCGCAUACCAUCGGAUGAGCCCAGAUGGGAUUAGCUAGGAGGUGGGGGAAAGGCUCACCGAGGCGACGAUCCCUAGCUGGGCUGAGAGGAGGACCGGCCACGCUGGAACUGAGACACGGUCCCGACUCCUGCGGGAGGCAGCAGUGGGGAAUAUUGCACAAUGGGCUCAAGCCUGAUGCAGCCAUGCCGCGUGUAUGAAGAAGGCCUUAGGGUUGUAAAGUACUUUCAGCGGGGAGGCGUUACCCGCAGAAGAAGCACCGGCUAACUCCGUGCCAGCAGCCGCGGUAAUUC
rnacentral:rRNA from 1 species